rnacentral:rRNA from 1 species
GAUGAGCGCUGGCGGCGUGCCUAAUACAUGCAAGUCGAGCGAACAGACGAGGAGCUUGCUCCUCUGACGUUAGCGGCGGACGGGUGAGUAACACGUGGAUAACCUACCUAUAAGACUGGGAUAACUUCGGGAAACCGGAGCUAAUACCGGAUAAUAUAUUGAACCGCAUGGUUCAAUAGUGAAAGACGGUUUUGCUGUCACUUAUAGAUGGAUCCGCGCCGCAUUAGCUAGUUGGUAAGGUAACGGCUUACCAAGGCAACGAUGCGUAGCCGACCUGAGAGGGUGAUCGGCCGCACUGGAACUGAGACACGGUCCAGACUCCUACGGGAGGCAGCAGUAGGGAAUCUUCCGCAAUGGGCGAAAGCCUGACGGAGCAACGCCGCGUGAGUGAUGAAGGUCUUCGGAUCGUAAAACUCUGUUAUUAGGGAAGAACAAAUGUGUAAGUAACUAUGCACGUCUUGACGGUACCUAAUCAGAAAGCCACGGCUAACUACGUG